UACGUAGGGGGCAAGCGUUGUCCGGAAUUAUUGGGCGUAAAGAGCGCGUAGGCGGUCCGGUAAGUCGGUUGUGAAAGUCGGGGGCUCAACCCUCGGAUGCCGAUCGAUACUGUCGGGCUAGAGUCCGGAAGAGGCGAGUGGAAUUCCUGGUGUAGCGGUGAAAUGCGCAGAUAUCAGGAGGAACACCAAUGGCGAAGGCAGCUCGCUGGGACGGUACUGACGCUGAGGCGCGAAAGCUAGGGGAGCGAACGGG
rnacentral:rRNA from 1 species